UCCAUGUGAAGCAAAGUGGAAAUCCUUGUG
rnacentral:piRNA from 1 species